rnacentral:rRNA from 1 species
AUACGUAGGUCCCGAACGUUGCGCGAAAUUACUGGGCGUAAAGGGUCCGUAGGCGGUCUGGUAAGUGGAAGGUGAAAGCCUGGGGCUCAACUCCAGAAUUGCCUUCCAAACUGCCGGACUUGAGGCAGGGAGAGGUCGGCGGAAUUCCCGGUGUAGCGGUGAAAUGCGUAGAUAUCGGGAGGAGCACCAGUAGCGAAGGCGGCCGACUGGAACUGUCCUGACGCUGAGGGACGAAAGCCAGGGGAGCGAACCGGAUUAGAUACCCUAGUAGUCC